AUUGAACGCUGGCGGCAUGCUUUACACAUGCAAGUCGAACGGUAACAGGUUAAGCUGACGAGUGGCGAACGGGUGAGUAAUGCAUCGGAACGUGCCCGGUCGUGGGGGAUAACGCAGCGAAAGCUGCGCUAAUACCGCAUACGAUCUGAGGAUGAAAGCGGGGGACCGUAAGGCCUCGCGCGAUCGGAGCGGCCGAUGUCAGAUUAGGUAGUUGGUGGGGUAAAGGCUCACCAAGCCAACGAUCUGUAGCUGGUCUGAGAGGACGACCAGCCACACUGGGACUGAGACACGGCCCAGACUCCUACGGGAGGCAGCAGUGGGGAAUUUUGGACAAUGGGCGCAAGCCUGAUCCAGCCAUGCCGCGUGCGGGAAGAAGGCCUUCGGGUUGUAAACCGCUUUUGUCGGGGAAGAAACGGUGGGAGCUAAUAUCUUCUGCUAAUGACGGUACCCGAAGAAUAAGCACCGGCUAACUACGUGCCAGCAGCCGCAGUAA
rnacentral:rRNA from 1 species